rnacentral:lncRNA from 1 species
UUCAAAGAAGAGGCCUUAAGAGACAUGGAAUUAAAUGUUACAGCUGCAAGUGCACUAUAAUUAAUUACAAAUUCUCAUCGAUUUUUAUUGAGGUCAAUCAUCUGCUGAUAGCCAUGGAAUGACAGUUAACGGGGGUUGGUGCAAGCACUUUGAUGCCUGCUGACCCUCCUCUAGUGAGCAUGUUGUAUGCCCAAGAGAAGGCUCUCCAUGGCCCUAAAAUACCACUCAGAUAUUUUUCUUAUCAAACACCCAUCUGAGUUUGAGCAUAUCUUUUUAUUCUAUUUUUUUUAGCACAUGUCUGUAGCAGCCAGAGAGUUUAAGAAUACCUUGAGAUGAAGUAUAGACAUCCCUCUAAAAGGCUAUGACUACAAGUCAUUUGCACUUAGUAUGAAUUAAUUUAUUCAGAUAAUCUUACUUCCUUUUUCCACUUAGCUGAGAUUUUAGGAAUAGAAAUUUUGCAUAGAGUAGGUACAGAAAGGGGAGAUAACAGUGAUGAAUUUGGAGUUAGUCAAUCAAAACAUUACUUGUUUGAAAAUAUAGACAUGGAGAAAUCUUUAACAAGCAAGAUAUGACAGAAAUUAAAGGCUAUUCCACAAAACAACCCUGCCAUUCAUUCACUGAUUCAUUCUUUCAACAAAAAUAUACUGACCCCCUUCCAAAUGCCAAGCACUUAAUUAGAAACACAGUGGGCACUGUCCAUUGUUUACCCAAAAACCACCCCACUCUUUCCUACCAUGAAGAAAUACUGUGAUUUGCUGAUGUAGCAAACACAGAACUCUUGAUUUCAGGGAGAGGAGAUUGCCAGAGUCGGGGAAUAAAUCAUGAUUAAUCUAAACUUAAAAAAAAAAUGUAUGCCUCAUGGGCACUGGCCACUCUAAGAACAAGCCAUGUGGCCCCGUUUUGGCUAACGACCUGUAAACAGGUACACUCACUUCUCAUUAUUCAUAUAUUCCAUAUUUGCAAAUUCACUUAUUCACUUAUAUUUAUCUGUAACUCCAAAAUCAACAGUCAUAGCAUGUCUGCAGUCAGUUGUGGACAGAAGAGGAAAGGCCAAAAAUGUGUGUCGCCCAAUAUGUAUGUUCCCAGCUGAAGUCAAACAAGAAGACACUGCCUUCUCAGCUCUCACAGUGUAAGUGUCCUUUUUGCAGUCCACUUGGU